GACUGCUCCGGUGGCCUAGUGGUGAGAGCAUCCGCCUCGGAUGCGAGAGUCUGUGGGUUCGAUCCCCAGCCGAGUCA